UCGGGAUGCAGCAGUGAGGAAUAUUGGUCAAUGGAGGCAACUCUGAACCAGCCAUGCCGCGUGAAGGAUGAAGGUCCUCUGGAUUGUAAACUUCUUUUAUAGAAGAAGAAACCCCGUUUUUCUAAAUGGGUUGACGGUACUCUAUGAAUAAGCACCGGCUAACUCCGUGCCAGCAGCCGCGGUAAUACGGAGGGUGCAAGCGUUAUCCGGAUUCACUGGGUUUAAAGGGAGCGUAGGUGGGCUUGUAAGUCAGUGGUGAAAUCUCCGAGCUUAACUUGGAAACUGCCAUUGAUACUACUAGUCUUGAAUUCUGUGGAGGUAAGCGGAAUAUAUCAUGUAGCGGUGAAAUGCUUAGAUAUGAUAUAGAACACCGAUAGCGAAGGCAGCUUACUACGCAGAUAUUGACACUGAGGCUCGAAAGCGUGGGGAUCAAA
rnacentral:rRNA from 1 species